CGCUAUCAGAUGAGCCUAGGUCGGAUUAGCUAGUUGGUGAGGUAAUGGCUCACCAAGGCGACGAUCCGUAACUGGUCUGAGAGGAUGAUCAGUCACACUGGAACUGAGACACGGUCCAGACUCCUACGGGAGGCAGCAGUGGGGAAUAUUGGACAAUGGGCGAAAGCCUGAUCCAAACAGGGCCGCGUGUGUGAAGAAGGUCUUCGGAUUGUAAAUCAAUUGAAGUUGGAGGAAGGGCAGUUACCUAAUACGUGA
rnacentral:rRNA from 1 species